GAUGAACGCUGGCGGCGUGCCUAAUACAUGCAAGUCGAGCGAACAGACGAGGCGCUUGCUCCUCUGACGUUAGCGGCGGACGGGUGAGUAACACGUGGAUAACCUACCUAUAAGACUGGGAUAACUUCGGGAAACCGGCGCUAAUACCGGAUAAUAUAUUGAAGCGCAUGGUUCAAUAGAAAAAGUCGGUUUUGCUGUCUCUUAUAGCUGCAUCCGCGCCGCUUUAGCUAGUUGGUAAGUUAACGGCUUACCAAGGCGACGAUGCGUGGCCGACCUGAGAGGGUGAUCGGCCACACGGGAACUGAGACACGGUCCAGACUCCUACGGGAGGCAGCAGUAGGGAAUCUUCCGCAGUGGGGGAAAGCCUGACGGAACAACGCCGAGUGAGUGAUGAAGGUCUUCGGAUCGGAAAACUCUGUUAUUGGGGAAAAACAAAUGUGUAAGUAACUGUGCACGUCUUGACGGUACCUGAUCAGAAAGCCACGGCUAACUACGUG
rnacentral:rRNA from 1 species